UACGCAGGCGGCAAGCGUUGUUCGGAAUCACUGGGCGUAAAGCGUGCGUAGGCGGCUUCGUAAGUUGGGCGUGAAAGCCCCGGGCUCAACCCGGGAAUAGCGCUCAAGACUGCGAGGCUUGAAUCCGGGAGAGGUUAGUGGAAUUCCCAGUGUAGAGGUGAAAUUCGUAGAUAUUGGGAGGAACACCAGUGGCGUAGGCGACUAACUGGUCCGGCAUUGACGCUGAGGCACGAAAGCGUGGGGAGCAAACAGG
rnacentral:rRNA from 1 species